AUGGACGCUGGCGGCAGGCCUAUCACAUGCAAGUCGAGCGGAUGAAGGGAGCUUGCUCCUGGAUUCAGCGGCGGACGGGUGAGUAAUGCCUAGGAAUCUGCCUGGUAGUGGGGGAUAACGUCCGGAAACGGGCGCUAAUACCGCAUACGUCCUGAGGGAGAAAGUGGGGGAUCUUCGGACCUCACGCUAUCAGAUGAGCCUAGGUCGGAUUAGCUAGUUGGUGGGGUAAAGGCCUACCAAGGCGACGAUCCGUAACUGGUCUGAGAGGAUGAUCAGUCACACUGGAACUGAGACACGGUCCAGACUCCUACGGGAGGCAGCAGUGGGGAAUAUUGGACAAUGGGCGAAAGCCUGAUCCAGCCAUGCCGCGUGUGUGAAGAAGGUCUUCGGAUUGUAAAGCACUUUAAGUUGGGAGGAAGGGCAGUAAGUUAAUACCUUGCUGUUUUGACGUUACCAACACAAUAAGCACCGGCUAACUUCGUGCCAGCUGCCGCGGUAAUACGAAAGGUGCAAGCCUUUAAUCGGAAUUUCUGGGAGAAAAGCGGGCGUAGGGGUUCGGCAGGUCCAUGUGAAAUCCCCGGGUUUAAACUGGGGAG
rnacentral:rRNA from 2 species